GAUAAAAAAUUGUUUUGCCUAUAUGUCC
rnacentral:misc_RNA from 1 species